UAAGCCUGUGAAGGUGGCCUGUGAGGGUUGCUGGAGGUAUCAGAAGUGCGAAUGCUGACAUAAGUAACGAUAAAGCGGGUGAAAAGCCCGCUCGCCGGAAGACCAAGGGUUCCUGUCCAACGUUAAUCGGGGCAGGGUGAGUCGACCCCUAAGGCGAGGCCGAAAGGCGUAGUCGAUGGGAAACGGGUUAAUAUUCCCGUACUUGGUGUUACUGCGAAGGGGGGACGGAGAAGGCUAUGUUGGCCGGGCGACGGUUGUCCCGGUUUAAGCGUGUAGGUGUGUGUUCCAGGUAAAUCCGGUUCACUUUAACACUGAGGCGUGAUGACGAGGCACUACGGUGCUGAAGCAACAAAUGCCCUGCUUCCAGGAAAAGCCUCUAAGCAUCAGGUAACAUCAAAUCGUACCCCAAACCGACACAGGUGGUCAGGUAGAGAAUACCAAGGCGCUUGAGAGAACUCGGGUGAAGGAACUAGGCAAAAUGGUGCCGUAACUUCGGGAGAAGGCACGCUGACAUGUAGGUGAAGUGAUUUACUCAUGGAGCUGAAGUCAGUCGAAGAUACCAGCUGGCUGCAACUGUUUAUUAAAAACACAGCACUGUGCAAACACGAAAGUGGACGUAUACGGUGU
rnacentral:rRNA from 1 species